rnacentral:rRNA from 1 species
AUGACGCCGCAUGUGGUGGACUUUGGAAUUGCUCGAGUUGAUCUAACGUGUUUAACAAUGACAAGUACAAGCAUGCAUGGAACAAUUGGGUACAUGGCACCAGAGUACGGGUCACUUGGAAAAGCAUCACGGAAGAGCGAUGUGUUUAGUUAUGGAAUCAUGAUCCUUGAAGUCUUCACUGGAAGGAGACCCACUGAUGCUACGUUCGGCGCACAACUAACCCUUAGGCAAUGGGUUCAUCAGGCGUUUCCAAUAGAGCUUGUCCAUGUCAUCGAUGGCCAGCUACUGCAAGGCUCCCCUCUUUCUGGUUGUGUCUUGGACAAUGACUUUCUUGAGUCAGUAUUUGAGCUAGGUUUGGCCUGCACCACUGACUUGCCUGACAAGAGAUUGACUAUGAGUGAUGUGGUCGUGAGGCUGAUGAAGAUCAAAGCCGAGUACACCAAACAUAAUAUACACAUACCU